rnacentral:rRNA from 1 species
GUAGUUGGAUUUCUGUUGAGGACGGCCGGUCCGCAUUAUGUGCGUGUAUCUGGUUCGGCCUUGGCAUCCUCCAGGGGAACGUUCCUGCGCUUCACUGCGUGGGACGGUAUUCUGGACUUUUACUUUGAGGAAAUUAGAGUGUUCACGGCAGGCAGUCGCCUUGAAUAUAUUAGCAUGGAAUAAUAAUAUAGGACCUUGAUUCUAUUUUGUUGGUUUCUAGAAUUUAGGUAAUGAUUAAUAGGGACAAUUGGGGGCAUUUGUAUUAACACGUCAGAGGUGGAAUUCUUGGAUUGUGUUACGACAAACUACUGCGAAAGCAUUUGCCAAGGAUGUUUUCAUUGAUCAAGAACGAAAGUAAGGGGAUCGAAGACGAUUAGAUACCGUCGUAGUCUUUACCAUAAACUAUGCCAACUAGAGAUUGGAGGUCGUUCUUUUUAUGACUCCUUCAGCACCUUAUGAGAAAUCAAAGUCUUUGGGUUCCGGGGGGAGUAUGGUCGCAAGGCUGAAACUUAAAGGAAUUGACGGAAGGGCACCACCAGGAGUGGAGCCUGCGGCUUAAUUUGACUCAACACGGGAAAACUCACCAGGUCCAGACAUAGUAAGGAUUG